UUUGCCUACGGGAGGCAGCAGUGGGGAAUAUUGCGCAAUGGACGAAAGUCUGACGCAGCGACGCCGCGUGAGGGAUGAAGGUACAGAGUAUCGUAAACCUCUUUUGUCAGGGAACAAAGGCGGGGACGUGUCCCCGGAUGAGUGUACCUGAAGAAAAAGCAUCGGCUAACUCCGUGCCAGCAGCCGCGGUAAUACGGAGGAUGCGAGCGUUAUCCGGAUUUAUUGGGUUUAAAGGGUGCGCAGGCGGUCUGUUAAGUCAGCGGUCAAAGCCCGGGGCUCAAACCCGGCCCGCCGUUGAAACUGGC
rnacentral:rRNA from 1 species